rnacentral:rRNA from 1 species
UACGGAGGGGGCUAGCGUUGUUCGGAAUUACUGGGCGUAAAGCGCACGUAGGCGGCUUUGCAAGUCAGAGGUGAAAGCCCGGGGCUCAACCCCGGAAUAGCCUUUGAGACUGCAUCGCUAGAACGUCGGAGAGGUAAGUGGAAUUCCGAGUGUAGAGGUGAAAUUCGUAGAUAUUCGGAAGAACACCAGUGGCGAAGGCGACUUACUGGACGACUGUUGACGCUGAGGUGCGAAAGCGUGGGGAGCAAACAGG